UGAAGGAACAAGUCUGGGACACUAGAGAUGCAUCCUGUCCCAGUGACUGUGCUGCUAUCUUUCUUUACCUGUUCGUUUCUUUCAUUAAACACCGAUGCAGUAAGAUCCAUAGAAGUCAUUCCUCGGGUUGAGUCAGUUUGUGAUCGCACAGGUGGCCUAUGCUCAGAUCUUGUGUGCUCAGCCAGUGGAAUUAGUGUGACGCUUAAUGUCCCCAAACUGAUUGAAAAUAGCAUAGAUAUUUCAAACAUUCAUCUACAAGACAGAAGAUGUACUGGAUUUCCAUAUGAUGGCACAUCAGUUUACUUAACCUGGAGCCGUGAUGAAUCCGUUUGUGGAAAUGAGCUCA